UAGUGGCGAACGGGUGAGUAACACGUGGGCAAUCUGCCCUUCACUCUGGGACAAGCCCUGGAAACGGGGUCUAAUACCGGAUAACACUCCUGCCCGCAUGGGCGGGGGUUAAAAGCUCCGGCGGUGAAGGAUGAGCCCGCGGCCUAUCAGCUUGUUGGUGAGGUAGUGGCUCACCAAGGCGACGACGGGUAGCCGGCCUGAGAGGGCGACCGGCCACACUGGGACUGAGACACGGCCCAGACUCCUACGGGAGGCAGCAGUGGGGAAUAUUGCACAAUGGGCGAAAGCCUGAUGCAGCGACGCCGCGUGAGGGAUGACGGCCUUCGGGUUGUAAACCUCUUUCAGCAGGGAAGAAGCGAGAGUGACGGUACCUGCAGAAGAAGCGCCGGCUAACUACGUGCCAGCAGCCGCGGUAAUACGUAGGGCGCAAGCGUUGUCCGGAAUUAUUGGGCGUAAAGAGCUCGUAGGCGGCUUGUCACGUCGGGUGUGAAAGCCCGGGGCUUAACCCCGGGUCUGCAUUCGAUACGGGCUAGCUAG
rnacentral:rRNA from 1 species